rnacentral:lncRNA from 1 species
CUGAACCAUAACAGCAUUUUUCUAGUGUUUUUCUAUUCCCUAUGUCAUUUAUUUCCAUUCUCAUCAUAAUUUCCUCCUUUCUGCUUGCUUUGAGUUUACUUUUCUCUCAUUUUCCUAGUUUCUUAAUAUGGAAGAUUAGAUUAUUAAUUUAAGAUCUUUCUUCUUUUCUAAUGUAGGCAUAUAUAAUUACAAAUUUCCCGCUAAGCAUUGCUUUCACUACAUUCCAUAAAUUUUAACAUAUUGUGUUUUUCUUUUAUAUUUUCCCCUAAAUUGUUUAGUGACUUUUUGGAAUUUCCUAUAUUCUUCAUUUUAUCGGGCCACUGAAAUCUUUUCUCAGCAUAGUAGUCAACUAAUGAUAAGACAGAUAUUUCCUUAACCACCUGAAACCAGUAAAUCUCUCAGGCUUUGCCCAGGGUCUCUGUAUGUCUUAAGGUACAGCAACAACACUCAAUCACACAGUCAGUUACUCUUCCCUAGCCUUCAUUUCCUGCUUUGGGGAGGCCUCAAAACAAGCCAGAGUUGAGAACUUCGUGCUUUAUUAGGUCUUUCUUGAGCAUACACACAGUCCUUUGCAUGCAUGUGGCCUUCUAGAUUCCUGGGAAUAUGUAAGCGUGUCCCAAAGCAUCUCUGAACAUCUUAUUUCCCAGAUUUUCUUCAUACUUUCUGGUUAGUCUGUUAUUUGCCACCACUAUUUUCCACCAUCUUCAGCAGACACAAAGUUAAGAAUUUGCCAGUUGGUUUUAACAAAUUCUAUUCACUUCACCUACACAAGGAGAAGGCUUUUUAUAGUGGGCAAGCUCCAGUUUAUCAGAUCCAG